AGAGAGAGAGCUCAAGGAAGAGAAAACGCAAUGGAGGAGAGAAGAAAGGAGUGCUCUGUCGCCGCUGAAGCUCCACCGCCGCUGCUAGGGCUUGUUGCCGUCGCCGUUCUGCUACCGCCAGGCUGAUGUACCGCCACCGAGGAUCUCGAAUGGGAUGUCUCACCGCCGUUGUGCUCUGUCGCCGCGCUGCCAUCGACUGGAGCUCGUCGUUGAGUUGCUGCACCGUCUCCAAGCCGUUACGUCCCCGCUCAUCUCUUCUUCACCGUCACUGCUCAUCACCAUGGUCGUAUCCUCUGUCACCAGGUAAUGGAAGAUCUCUGUGAGCGCUAUUUUGACCCUAAUUAUUUGAACUUCUUUCACAUGAUAAGAUAUAGAAAAACUUUAAGGGACGAUGAACAAAGAUUUUAACAGGGUCGCUAUUCUAUAGCAUCUGCAGUUCUGCUCUUAAA